ACGAUGCAAGUGUCAGCUUGUGUUGGCCGGUUGCCUUUCUUUCGCAAGAGGGGAAAAUAUCCUCACAGACUUUCUGUGUUCUCAGAGACGAUCUUCUUCCCUAGAAAGAAGUCGCUUACGGUUGGCGUUUCCCUCAGGCAGCGCCGUGGGCAGCCCACAGGCCCUUGUAAGGCGCGCGCCGCGGCCCCGCCUCUUUCCUUUCGGCCGGAACCGCCAUCUUCCAGUAAUUCGCCAAAAUGACGAACACAAAGGGAAAGAGGAGAGGCACCCGAUAUAUGUUCUCUAGGCCUUUUAGAAAACAUGGAGUUGUUCCUUUGGCCACAUAUAUGCGAAUCUAUAAGAAAGGUGAUAUUGUAGACAUCAAGGUAAACAUAAAAUUGGGAAAAUAAUACUACAGAAGAUAGAAAAGUUGGAUUUAAUCUAGUGUAGGAAUUCAAAUACUAGUGUAUAUUGCAUCUGUAAGAGUAUAGAAUGGAUUUUUUUUUUUUUUUUUUUGGAAACAGAGUUUCACUCUUGUUGCUCAGGCUGGAGUGCAAUGGCACGAUCUCACU
rnacentral:sRNA from 1 species